ensembl:lncRNA
GAGCAUGCUCAGAGCCCACCGAGUUCUCCUUGGCAUUUCUGGAAGUUCUUAGUUUAUUAAACCUGAUCCAGAUGUUCAAAUGAAGCGGCCACUGCAGGGCAGUAGACAUCCAGCAGGACUUUGAGCUGCUCACAGUGAACACAAGAGGAAGAGAGCAGAGCUCUCCAGUGGUCAGACUGUGCAACUGCAGCUGCUCAGACAACAAGAAGAAGCUGAAGCAGGAAGGUGAUGUGCAGGAAACCUGUGGAGCAGUUUUGGAAACAUUUCGGGAGACGCUGUGGAGAGAGGCUGGGUGUUGGAUUGCUGCACUGGGAGCUGGGAUUAACACCGCUGUGGACAUCAUGUUUGGGUACUAUUAUUGCGUCUUGCUC